rnacentral:rRNA from 1 species
AGAGUUUGAUCCUGGCUCAGAAUCAACGCUGGCGGCGUGCCUAACACAUGCAAGUCCGAACGCGAAAGUCCCGCAAGGGAUCAGUAGAGUGGCAAACGGGUGAGUAACGCGUGGGUGACCUGCCUUCGAGCGGGGGAUAACGUUCCGAAAGGGACGCUAAUACCGCAUAACAUCCUGCUUUUUAAGAGGUGGAGAUCAAAGCCGGGGAUCGCAAGACCUGGCACUCGAAGAGGGGCCCGCGUCCGAUUAGCUAGUUGGUGGGGUAAUGGCUCACCAAGGCUCCGAUCGGUAUCCGGCCUGAGAGGGCGGACGGACACACUGGGACUGAGACACGGCCCAGACUCCUACGGGAGGCAGCAGUGGGGAAUUGUUCGCAAUGGGCGCAAGCCUGACGACGCAACGCCGCGUGGAGGAUGAAGAUCUUCGGGUCGUAAACUCCUUUCGAUCGAGACGAACGGCUUCCGGGUGAACAAUCCGGGAGAGUGACGGUACCGAGAGAAGAAGCCCCCGGCUAACUCCGUGCCAGCAGCCGCGGUA